AACACAUGCAAGUCGAGGGGCAGCAUUCUCAGUUUGCUUGCAAACUGGAGAUGGCGACCGGGGCACGGGUGAGUAACACGUAUCCAACCUGCCGAUAACUCGGGGAUAGCCUUUCGAAAGAAAGAUUAAUACCCGAUGGUAUAAUUAGACCGCAUGGUCUUGUUAUUAAAGAAUUUCGGUUAUCGAUGGGGAUGCGUUCCAUUAGGCAGUUGGUGAGGUAACGGCUCACCAAACCUUCGAUGGAUAGGGGUUCUGAGAGGAAGGUCCCCCACAUUGGAACUGAGACACGGUCCAAACUCCUACGGGAGGCAGCAGUGAGGAAUAUUGGUCAAUGGGCGCAGGCCUGAACCAGCCAAGUAGCGUGAAGGAUGACUGCCCUAUGGGUUGUAAACUUCUUUUAUAUGGGAAUAAAGUUUUCCACGUGUGGAAUUUUGUAUGUACCAUAUGAAUAAGGAUCGGCUAACUCCGUGCCAGCAGCCGCGGUAAUACGGAGGAUCCGAGCGUUAUCCGGAUUUAUUGGGUUUAAAGGGAGCGUAGGUGGACAGUUAAGUCAGUUGUGAAAGUUUGCGGCUCAACCGUAAAAUUGCAGUUGAUACUGGCUGUCUUGAGUACAGUAGAGGUGGGCGGAAUUCCGUGGUGUAGCCGGUGAAAUGCUUACGAUAUCACGAAGAACUCCGAUUGCGAAGGCAGC
rnacentral:rRNA from 1 species